AGAGUUUGAUCCUGGCUCAGAACGAACGCUGGCGGCGUGGAUAAGACAUGCAAGUCGGACGAGAUUUUUCGUUGUAGCAAUACGAUGGAAAGUCUAGUGGCGAACGGGUGCUUAACACGUGGGCAAUCUGUCUUAAAGUGGGGGAUAGCUCGGCGAAAGCCGAAUUAAUACCGCAUGUGAUUAGAGUGGACAUCCAUUCAAAAUUAAAGUCGGGGCAACCUGACGCUUUUUGAGGAGCCCGCGGCCUAUCAGCUAGUUGGUGAGGUAACGGCUCACCAAGGCUGUGACGGGUAGCUGGUCUGAGAGGACGACCAGCCACACUGGGACUGAGACACGGCCCAGACACCUACGGGUGGCAGCAGUCGAGAAUUUUUCUCAAUGGGGGAAACCCUGAAGGAGCGACGCCGCGUGGAGGAUGAAGGUCUUCGGAUUGUAAACUCCUGUCAUUGGGGAACAAGUCGCUUACGUUAACUGCGUGAGCGUUGAUAGUACCCGAAGAGGAAGAGACGGCUAACUCUGUGCCAGCAGCCGCGGUAAUACAGAGGUCUCAAGCGUUGUUCGGAUUCAUUGGGCGUAAAGGGUGCGUAGGCGGCGCGGUAAGUCGGGUGUGAAAUCUCGGAGCUUAACUCCGAAACUGCAUUCGAUACUGCCGUGCUCGAGGACUGGAGAGGAGACUGGAAUUUACGGUGUAGCGGUGAAAUGCGUAGAUAUCGUAAGGAAGACCAGUGGCGAAGGCGGGUCUCUGGACAGUUCCUGACGCUGAGGCACGAAGGUCAGGGGAGCAAACGGGAUUAGAUACCCCAGUAGUCC
rnacentral:rRNA from 1 species